GGGAGCUGAAGGGCCCCCCAAGAGAAGAAGAGAGCUCCUUCUAAGAGAAAAAGAGAGCCCCCUCUAAGAGAAGAAGAGGCGCUCCAGAAGAGAAGUGGAGGCCCCAAAUAAAGGGAGAUGAUGCCAGCCCCCAAGAAAAAAGAAGGCUCCGUUCUAGCCUCUGGAGAAAAAGGAAUAGAAGCAUGCAGCAGCUGACCUCCGAGGAGGGAAGAGAAGCCGAAGGACUCUGUCACAGACUGGGCCUCGGGCCUGUCUCUGACACUGAGAGGAGCACCAAAGGCCCUGGGCCUGGUGUCUCGAAGAGCUGUUUGUGGUUGGUAUAACCCAUCCACUUACAAAGAGCUGUUAACACGGGGUGCCUCUGACACCACCUCUGAGGGACCAUUAGUGGCCAUCACUACUGGCCAGUGUGUCCCGCUCCCCUGGUGACUAGUGGCGACCAUCACUGAUGCUAUCUGGGUCAGGCAGCCGCCACUUGUGGAUACAGUGAGCUCUUUGUUUCCACUGUUUGUAAAAUAAACCCUAUGGUUGUUGUUCCUGGAGUCUAAGGUCUCUUGCAAUUGUGAGCACAGGUACUGCGGGACACGGAGCUCAGCAGCCCAGUGAGUUGACAGCUGUGGAGGGAGACUUUGUCCAGGUGAACUUCUUGUUCCAGACAUCCGGGUUCAAUGGGCUCUCCUGGUACCAGCAACAGGAUGGUGGAGCUCCUGUAUUUCUGUCCUACAAUGUUUUGGGCAGUCCGGAGAGGAGAGGUCGUUUUUCCUCAUUUCUUAGUUUCAAUGUGAAAAAUAUGCACAAGGAGGAAUACAUCAGCAUCACUGUGUGGGAGGCAAGUGAUUAGGACAAGAUUUGGCCUCUAGGAUUACAGCUUCCAGAACACACUCUCAAUGUUUGAAGAAGUCCUGUGAAAAGCUCUUGAUGAAGCUGGCAGAAAUUGGAUUCAGUGAUACUGUUCUUUAUUAGUGUUUGUCAACAAAAGUAUCUUCCCAAUGCUGUGAAUGCUGUUGAAAAUAAGAUAUGCUGAGACUGCAUUUUGUCACAGAAACCGGUUCCUCCAGGUCAGCUACAUUGCCAGUGGCUGGGCUCUAUUGCAGACCCCGCUACAUGUCCAAUCAGCUGGAAAACCACAAGUGAACCAGGAAAAGCUGUCUUCCUCCUCACUUCACUUUCCUUCUCUUUUUUUUUAUGAUUUUUAAAAAAGAUUUAUUUAUUUUUAUUUAUACAAGAACUGGGGUACAGGCCAGAUGCACGGGAGGGUGAGAGGAUUCACCAGAGACAGAGUGGGGAACAGAACAGGCAGACUGACGAAAUACAUUGCCGAGGGGAGCAGCAGGCGAGACAGGAGAGGUCUGCUGUGCCGUAUGGGACCCUCCCGACCGGCCAGUAUCAAACUGGUGCUGCAGAGGCUACAGACAACUUCACAGCGCUGAACCAACCGCCUGUGCCACUGGGGAGGCCCCACUUUCGUUCUUUCAUCUGCUACUUCAUUCUCAUGUAGUGAUCUCCUACUCUGUGAUACCAAGUAUUAGGAACAAUUUUCAUAUUUUGUUUGGUUACAGUAUGUAUUGUACCUUUUUAGAAAUGUGGCAUGUAAUGCCUGCAAACAAGCAUAAAUACCUCUUUAAUGGAAAGAUUUUUUUGUUAGUGUUGUAUUUUCUGGUACUCUAUGCAAAUUACUCAACUUAAAAAAAUUUUAAGUAACUAUAGUCACAGAUCAGCGUUGGAAAGGGAUUUUAUGCACGUGGGGGAUACUGAGGCUUCCAGAAGUUACAUUUUGGAAAAUCUGGUUACUCCUCCUGUCAGCUUGUGAGAUGGGUGUGAAGAGUUGUUUUUUUUU